GGGUUGGACACUAUGGUGCCACUUUUGGCCAUGGUGAUGCUAUUCCAACGCACUACUACAAAAGUUAAUCACACAACACUAAUCAUACAACGGAACAGAAAUCAUUUGUUGUGUGUUUAAGUAAGCUUUAUUGCACAACGGUACUUGUUUAUUCUGUUGUGUGAAUGCCAACAAAGUGAAAACUUUUUUAUCAGAACUACAUUGCACAACGAUAAUGAAGUAAUGUCUAUCGUCUGAGUCUUAAAAAAUUUAGCGGUAGAUUUCCCUCCACUUUGGAGUCUUGGUUGGCUCUUGAAACACUGAAAUUUGGGCUACUAGGACAGCGGGUUUUACUAUGUCCGUUGUGUGAUUGAAAAACUAAGCAUCAAAGUUUGAGGAAGCUUGCUUGAAUAUCUUCCCCUAGAUACGCCUAGUGCAAGCUGUUGUAAUUGUACAACAGAUUUAAGAUUUUCUGUUGUGUGAAGAUGGAACUGGGCGGCAACAUUUUGAGCCAAAAUGCUGAAUGAGCCAUGUUUCCCUCCAUGAUUUCACAUUUUGAUUUUUAGUGCUGCACUCAGACGACAGUUGGUGAGAUUUCUGUUGUGUGAAUAACUUGGAGAAUUUUUAGCCAGGUUUAAUUGCACAUCGUGUACAAAAGAAAGAAAGAAAAAGAAAAAAAACACAGCCCUUCUCUCGACACUCGAACCCAUCUCUGCUCUCUCUCGACCUUAAACCUAGAAACCCAUCUCUUACAAACCCAUCUCGAUCUCAGGCAGUACUACCUUUCGAACCCUUUUCCGGCGAAUGGCUUCGAUUUCAUAUGAGCCUCUUCCUUCCCCUUUCUCACAUUCACCCUCUUCUCCCUCACUGUGACCGUCCUCAACAGCUUCCUCCGGGUUUUGGUUUUUCUCCGCUUCCCUUCCACCUCCCGCACCAUCUCUCUCUCGCGGCUCGCUUCUAUAAGUCUUUCUCACAUUCCGGCUAAUGGAUUCUGAUUCUGCUAUGAAGUUAAUUUCUUCAUUUUGGGUUGGAUAGGCUGAGCUUCCUUUAGUUGGAAAUAGUGAGAAUCUAAUUCAGAUUGUUGUGGGUUUGAUUGUUUAGGUUACCUUAUUUCUCCGAUUGGAAGAGAAGCAACAAAUAAAAGGCAGCUUCGUGUACGAAUCGGAGCACAGUUCAAGAAGCAGCGAAGUUAAUGAACUGGAAAAUCACAAUCUGCCGGUCUAGAUUUUGAUAAUCUGAGAGCUUUGGACACUAGCGACAAAUUCAAAGCUUUGGCACUGAAUUUUGGUUGUGAUUCAGGUGCUCCAUUUCUUUGGCAGAUUUAUGAAUGUAUUAUGACUAUUUCCUUGUUUUUGCAUGAUUUAUUAAUGUCUUGGCAUCUCCUUGUCUUCGCUGGACAUCAUCAUUGUUUCUUCUUUAUUGUUUUAGGGUAGGGCACUGUAGGGAACAAAUAUGGGAAUUUUUAAUUGAGAAGAAGUGUGUUAAUACUUCUUUGUGAGUUUGUGGGGACUGGUACAUGUAAUCUUCAGUUUUGUUGAAAGCACAAAAAUAAUGUUGCAGUCAAUGUUUCAAAUAGAAAAUUUUUAGUACACUUGGUAUGAAGACUUCGUGUGAGCUCAUGAGUUUGGUUGAUUUGUUUCUUAGGCAUAAUGCAUAGCUGAAAGCUAACAUAUUUUGGCUGCAAUGUGCGAAACCUAUGUGUUUCAAGAACCCUAGUGGAAUGGAAAUCAGAGUGGACAUAUACAUGCUACCACUAAUGGAUCAUGUCCCGUAAAAAAAAACUAACAAAAUUGGUUUUCUGCCCUUGGUGAAGAAUUUUCAGUACAUUUUGUUUGUCCUUUUAUUUCUGACAGACUCAAGCAUUACUUUUGGUUUGCAUUGCUUUGUGCUGGAACUAAUUGCUUUCUUUUCAGGCAAGUUCUCUUUUUCUAGAACUUAAUUAGUAUCAUAAAUUUGGCCAUAUUCUGUGAAUUUCAUGGAUACCUCUUUAAUCUUUUGAUUGCAUGGUGUUUGAUGUGCACUGUAUGCCAUUAAUGGAUGUAGUAAAACUUCUCUGACAUCAUUUUAGAAAAGUACUCUUGCUUAUUGUUAAUUGAAGUCUCAUUUGCAUUUUCAUAUUAUCUGCAACUUAAUUUCUGUUGUCUUCCUAUAUGUGUGGAAAAUUUUUCCGUCGUGAAGUUUAAUUCAAUGGGCAUGGAUAUUUAUUCGUUUAUUUGGGCAUGGAUAUUUUUCCUAAUUGACUCAUUGUUUUGCUCUUUGUCAUGUAUUCUUUUAAAAAAGUGAUUACUGAAUAAGUAAUCCACUAUGCUACUUUUGUAUAUACUUUGCACAGUAAGUAAUGUUUAUGGCCUCUUUUUAUGCUUUUAGGAAGAUCUAAAAUUUUCUUGUUUCAUGUUAUUAUUAGGUAUGGCCACCUGAUGGCUUUGGAUUAGUGGAUGAUCGACUAAGCGUAAAGAAGCUUAUAUUGUUAAAGAUAUAUCUCUAAUUGAAUUAUAUUUCCAUUGAAUUUUGUUCGUAUCCCUGCAAUGCUUUUGUUCGUGUCAUUGAAUUAUCUUCCAAGAAUGUCACAAAAUACCUUCUCAAUUCAUACCGUAAAUCUUUCGAUUCAGUUCUUCUUGUUAAUAUAUUUUCCAUUAGUACUUUGCUGAAAGAACUAGUGAACUUCACUAUAAAGGGUUAGAGGUGUGACCGUCAUCUUGUGCAUUAUUCAUGACCAUUGAACUUCUCGUUGUCUAUUCUGUCUCGUAUUCCAGAGAAGCAAUCAUGUCAUAUGUGCUUACCUUAUGAUAUAUUCAGGGAGCACUUAGAGUUUCCAUGACAAGUCCAGGAUUUAUCUAUGAGCCUUAUGCACCUCGUGAAAAAGUUCAAUUUUUCCGGAGGAACUAAAGAAUGAAAUAAAACAGAGAUAAUCCAUAUGGAGUGAGGUUUAUUGGGAAAAGGUUGAGCCAAUUGUAAAAAUACGCACCUUGCGAGCACGAUGG